rnacentral:rRNA from 1 species
GACAAGUGAAUUCAUAGCUUGUCAGAAGGCAGACCCGGAGAACUGAAACAUCUUAGUACCCGGAGGAAGAGAAAGAAAAUUCGAUUCCCUGAGUAGCGGCGAGCGAAACGGGAAGAGCCCAAACCAAUAAGCUUGCUUAUUGGGGUUGUAGGACACUCUAUACGGAGUUACAAAGGAAUAUAUUAAACGAAUCAUCUGGAAAGUUGAAUCAAAGAAGGUAAUAAUCCUGUAGUUGAAAAUAUAUUCUCUCUUGAGUGGAUCCUGAGUACGACGGAGCACGUGAAAUUCCGUCGGAAUCUGGGAGGACCAUCUCCUAAGGCUAAAUACUCUCUAGUGACCGAUAGUGAACCAGUACCGUGAGGGAAAGGUGAAAAGUACCCCGGAAGGGGAGUGAAAGAGAACUUGAAACCGUGUGCUUACAAGUAGUCAGAGCCCGUUAAUGGGUGAUGGCGUGCCUUUUGUAGAAUGAACCGGCGAGUUACGAUCUGAUGCAAGGUUAAGCAGAAAAUGUGGAGCCGUAGCGAAAGCGAGUCUGAAUAGGGCGUAUAGUAUUUGGUCGUAGACCCGAAACCAGGUGAUCUACCCAUGGUCAGGUUGAAGUUCAGGUAACACUGAAUGGAGGACCGAACCGACUUACGUUGAAAAGUGAGCGGAUGAACUGUGGGUAGCGGAGAAAUUCCAAUCGAACUUGGAGAUAGCUGGUUCUCUCCGAAAUAGCUUUAGGGCUAGCCUCAAGUGAUGAUUAUUGGAGGUAGAGCACUGUUUGGACGAGGGGCCCCUCUCGGGUUACCGAAUUCAGACAAACUCCGAAUGCCAAUUAAUUUAACUUGGGAGUCAGAACAUGGGUGAUAAGGUCCGUGUUCGAAAGGGAAACAGCCCAGACCACCAGCUAAGGUCCCAAAAUAUAUGUUAAGUGGAAAAGGAUGUGGCGUUGCCCAGACAACUAGGAUGUUGGCUUAGAAGCAGCCAUCAUUUAAAGAGUGCGUAAUAGCUCACUAGUCGAGUGACACUGCGCCGAAAAUGUACCGGGGCUAAACAUAUUACCGAAGCUGUGGAUUGUCCUUUGGACAAUGGUAGGAGAGCGUUCUAAGGGCGUUGAAGCAUGAUCGCAAGGACAUGUGGAGCGCUUAGAAGUGAGAAUGCCGGUGUGAGUAGCGAAAGACGGGUGAGAAUCCCGUCCACCGAUUGACUAAGGUUUCCAGAGGAAGGCUCGUCCGCUCUGGGUUAGU